GCCGUGAUCGUAUAGUGGUUAGUACAUUGCGUUGUGGCCGCAAUAACCAAGGUUCAAAUAAUAGUCAUGUCA
rfam:Nematostella vectensis strain CH2 x CH6 NEMVEscaffold_1692_Cont38109, whole genome shotgun sequence.